GACGAACGCUGGCGGCGUGCCUAAUACAUGCAAGUCGAACGCUUCUUUCCUCCCGAGUGCUUGCGCUCAAUUGGAAAGAGGAGUGGCGGACGGGUGAGUAACACGUGUGUAACCUACCCAUCAGAGGGGGAUAACACUUGGAAACAGGUUCUAAUACCGCAUAACAUUUUAUGCCGCAUGGCAUAAGAGUGAAAGGCGCUUUCGGGUGUCGCUGUUGGAUGGACCCGCGGUGCAUUAGCUAGUUGGUGAGGUAACGGCUCACCAAGGCCACGAUGCAUAGCCGAACUGAGAGGGUGAUCGGCCACACUGGGACUGAGACACGGCCCAGACUCCUACGGGAGGCAGCAGUAGGGAAUCUUCGGCAAUGGACGAAAGUCUGACCGAGCAACGCCGCGUGAGUGAAGAAGGUUUUCGGAUCGUAAAACUCUGCUGUUAGAGAAGAACAAGGACGUUAGUAACUGAACGUCCCCUGACGGUAUCUAACCAGAAAGCCACGGCUAACUACGUG
rnacentral:rRNA from 1 species